rnacentral:lncRNA from 1 species
GGUGUGUGUGUGUGCAGGGCGCGAGAGCUGGACUGCAGCGAUUAUUCCAGGGACCAGAUUUUCCUUAUUCUUCAGCUUUAAUCCCGGCUGUAGUAUAAUGAGACUGAGUGAGGCCACGAAAAACGACGCACACCAAAGGGCAGAGCGGCAGUUUGUGGACCAUCAGCUGGCCCGGCCUGCGUCUCCUACAGAUGAAUGGCUCUGUAUUAAUAUUAACAAGGAGGGUGCUGGGGCUGAAGCGCGGACAGAGCUGGAGCUUGAUCUAUGGGCUGCGGUCACUCACCCUCCCUCCCCCAGCGUCUCGGCCCCAGUUCAGGUCAGUCCGAGGGACAGCUCGCAGGCUGCAGCGCGCGGAGCCGAGACGCCCCAGGAGCCGGCUGCUCUCACCGAGCACCUCGCCACGGACUGGCACACCUGCUGUGCAGCUGACAGUUGUGGCUCUCCUGUAAGACAAAAGGCAACUAGUUUCAAGAGAUGACCGACCAGCAGGGCGGUGCUGCUGCAGGGAGGCGGAACAGCUGCCCACAGGUGUGGAUUUUCAUUGCGGUGAUAAAAGGCAAGAAACCGGGCAGGUGGGUCUGGGCAUUCGCUGUUUUUACAGUGUUGCUGCUAAUACAACUAUCAGUCAUCUCACGGAGAGGCUGAAAGGCCGUCCCGGAAUCCGCAGCCGGGAUUAAGGGGUAUGCUCAAGCUUCACAAACUCGAAAACCAGCACGAACUGACAAGACCGGAGGAAGAGCUUCGUUUCUCCCUGAAAGCUUUGGGUGCAACUGGAUAUCGGACAGCAGAGAUUGUGAUCAUUUUUAAACGUAUGAUAUUUAAAUAGACGUGUCUGACUGUACUGAGGUCUGACUUGCAGCGCUGGGAAAGCAGGACGGAGGCUCACCUGUGCCCGUGCGCUGCGGGCUUCCCUCUCGCGCGGGAGGCCUUGAGCCCCGCCGAUACCGGCGCGCGGACAGGUGGGAGCGCGCAGCGGGAAGAAGCCAGCUGGCGCUGGGGACCGAUAAGACACCCCAUCAGCAGUGAGGGGGCAAAGUGCGGCCCAGCAGAACGCUUCUUACUUUAAUACCCCGGACACCAGUGUGCCAUUUCAGGAACUGUGACUUAUAUGCCAGCAGCCAUAUCCAUGUCACCCUGCAACUCACCACUGGCAGCCCACUGAAGCUCAGCAGGUGUGAGCCUGGCUAGUACCUGGAUGAGAGACCUCCUGGGAAAAACUAAGGUUGCUGCUGGAAGAGGUGUUAGUGGGGGCCAGUAUUGACGGCACCCUGCAGUCUGUGUGGGUCCUAAUACCCCAGUAUAGCGACGGGGACACUAUACUGUAAACAGGUGCCGUCCUUUGGAUGAGAUGUAAAACCGAGGUCCUGACUCUCUGUGAUCAUUAAAAAAUCCCAGCGUGUUUCUCGAAAGGAGUAGGGGUGUAACCCUGGCUUCCUGGCCAAAUUUCCCAUUGGCCCUUACCAAUCAUGGCCUCCUAAUAAUCCCCAUCUCUGAACUGGCUUCAUUACUCUGCUCUCCUCCCCACUGAUAGCUGGUGUGUGGUGAGCGUUCUGGCGCACUAUGGCUGCCAUCGCAUCAUCCAGGUGGGGCUGCACAUUGGUGGUGGUGGAGGGGAUCCCCAUUACCUGUAAAACGCUUUGAGUGGAGUGUCCAGAAAAGCACUAUAUAAGUGUAAGCAAUUAUAAAUUUUUAUUAUUAUUUCAACCCCUUGAGCACUGAUGCUGAGCAGGUCAUGGUGUCAGGUCACAUACUGAGCGGGUGUCCAUAGGUUCUGAUAAGUGAGGCAGGACGCCUGGGCCCAGCUGUUGUGUGACACUGCCCCGCUGAGGCCCAGCCUUGCUUCCUCUGCGAGGGUGCUUAUGGACAGGCAUAGCACCCAACUCUCUCUCCUGUUCAGAGUGGGCAGUUUCGGUUGUGUUGAUAAAAAUAGCCUUUUCUAAUCAGGUCAGUUCUGCAAAGUUCCUGACUCCUCAGAAAGCUUUUUUUUUACUUCUUGGCGUUGACGUCCCUUGAUUUCUUCAUUCCAGCGAUGGAGAACUGCAUGUCAUCGCCCAUCUCACCAGGGAGUGGAAGAAAGCCCCCUUCAGAAUAUCUGAAGAGCAGUGUCCAUCCUAAAUUUAGCUUCGAUAAUAAUCUCUAGGAUGUAGGAUGUAGGAUGGCAUUGCAUUGCAAGAGCUGAACAGAUUUUAUAAAGGCGAUAUUACUAUUAUUGGGAUACUUUUCAUCUGUCAACCUGUAACAUCUACUUUCUGCGAUUCUGUGAUGUUAACAGUGAACUACAGCGCCAGUCUGUUGAGACUGGAGAAGCUAGCUGGAGUCUAGUGUCCUUCAUCAGCACAUUAAUGAAUAACCUCCACCACAGAACUGCCAGAGGGGUCCUUCUGAUAGCAGCAGUUUGGCCUCGGUGGACAGACAGCCUGCCUGCUGUGACAGACGCCUUACCCUCAGUCUGGCUCCGGAGACUGAAUUGUGCAGAUUUAUACGGAGAUACGCUUGUGUCUUCCUUUCGUGUAGUGCCGUCAUAAAAUCAUUUUAAAAGGUCACUUAUUAGAAUGCACAACCUUUUGUGGCUGUUCUUCAUCUGAACGAGCUG